CCCUCCUACAAAGGCUUGUCUGUGGCUCUCAGUCUUUAUAGGACAUAUAAGAAGGAGAGAUAAAGAAAUGUGGACUUGGAGAAGUCUUGGGCCAGCUUACUCUAUGCAUGCUUAAGAUCAACUUUCUCACAAAG
rnacentral:snoRNA from 1 species